AGUGAACGCUGGCGGUAGGCCUAACACAUGCAAGUCGAACGGCAGCACAGUAAGAGCUUGCUCUUACGGGUGGCGAGUGGCGGACGGGUGAGGAAUACAUCGGAAUCUACUUUUUCGUGGGGGAUAACGUAGGGAAACUUACGCUAAUACCGCAUACGACCUACGGGUGAAAGCAGGGGAUCUUCGGACCUUGCGCGAUUGAAUGAGCCGAUGUCGGAUUAGCUAGUUGGCGGGGUAAAGGCCCACCAAGGCGACGAUCCGUAGCUGGUCUGAGAGGAUGAUCAGCCACACUGGAACUGAGACACGGUCCAGACUCCUACGGGAGGCAGCAGUGGGGAAUAUUGGACAAUGGGCGCAAGCCUGAUCCAGCCAUACCGCGUGGGUGAAGAAGGCCUUCGGGUUGUAAAGCCCUUUUGUUGGGAAAGAAAAGCAGCAGGUUAAUACCCCGCUGUUCUGACGGUACCCAAAGAAUAGGCACCGGCUAACUUCG
rnacentral:rRNA from 1 species